CUGUAGCGUAACCUGAAACAGGGGUGGGAGCAAACGGCGUAGUCAGGAGCGGCAGAGAGAAAUUUAUGGCAAUCAGGACACAAUGGAGUUGGACUUUAUUUCCAUGUCCAUUCCAAGGAGAAUACCAAAGAAAAAUACUGUUGUGAAAGAAAGAUAUAUUUGCUUCUAACAUCUGGUGAAGUAUUAAGUAAUAAGGAGUACCAUAAAAUUGGAGGAUCAAUAAUGCACUGGAAACUUACUACCAUCACGGGGCCACUGACAUGAAAUGACAGCAACUAAAAUAGCAAGAGGACUGGCGAUAAUCAUGCGGCUAGAUUUGUGUUUGUGGGAGAGGGUGAGGCUGGUGCUGCCUGUCCCACUUUGGUGGCUUGAAUUCUUUUUCGAUCGUGUUCACAGUGACCCUUCUAAGACUGGAAUUGAUAGAGUGCUUCAUUUUCAGUUAAGAGGAGUGGGCUUUGAAUGUUUAUCAGACACAUUCUAGCUGUAUGACUCCAGCUAAGUCAUUAAAUGUUUUUUCUCA